CAGUUAUUGGGUAUCAAAACCUAAUAGCGAAAUUAACAUAACUUUUAUGGGAUUAGUUUUUAGAUUAUUUAUAGUCUAUUAAUUCAAUCCCGGGGCGUUCUAUAUAGUUAUGUAUAAUAAUAUUUAUAUUAUUUAUACCUCUAACUAGAGCGUACCUUGAGCAUAUAUGCUGUGACCCGAAAGAUGGUGAACUAUACUUGAUCAGGUUGAAGUCAGGGGAAACCCUGAUGGAAGACCGAAACAGUUCUGACGUGCAAAUCGAUUGUCAGAAUUGAGUAUAGGGGCGAAAGACCAAUCGAACCAUCUAGUAGCUGGUUCCCUCCGAAGUUUCCCUCAGGAUAGCUGGUGCAUUUAAAUAUUAUGUAAAAUAAUCUUAUCUGGUAAAGCGAAUGAUUAGAGGCCUUAGGGUCGAAACGACCUUAACCUAUUCUCAAACUUUAAAUGGGUAAGAACCUCACCUUUCUUGGUAUGAAGGUUGUGGUUGUGAUAUAAUGUGCCCAGUGGGCCACUUUUGGUAAGCAGAACUGGCGCUGUGGGAUGAACCAAACGUAAUGUUACGGUGCCCAAAUUAACAACUCAUGCAGAUACCAUGAAAGGCGUUGGUUGCUUAAAACAGCAGGACGGUGGACAUGGAAGUCGUAAUCCGCU
rnacentral:rRNA from 1 species